AAAAAAAAACAAAAAAACAAAAGAGAAGAAUUCAAUUCCUUGUUUGCCUUUCCACCCCCUUUCAAAACCACCCCUCUGCGUGUACGCUGCAGAAUUAAUUAGAUGUAAAGAGAUAUUUGAUCAAUCAUAAGAAACCCCUAUAGCAUUUUCUCCUUUACCUCAUCACGGUCUAAUGGGAUUCUCUUUUUGAGCCAAUCGAACGCACACCGAAAGAAAAACAAGAGAUAACCACUGAAAAUCACCAACCAUGGGAGGUAAUAUUUUAUUUCUAUGUCUCUGGAUCAUUUUAGAGAAUUAAGUUUCCUGUUUUUGCUUAUUUCUACGGUUUUUAUUUUUGGGGUACAUACAUAUUACAUUGAGAGGCAUGCUUAUUAUUUUUGGGGUAGGUGUGUAUUAGAAUGUGAAUUGUAUAGUAGACAAUCGGGUUGCUUUGCAUCAGCCAGAUGCGUUUUGUGCAAUCAUAGAAGUAACUGUUAGAAUUUCUAGCCUCGUAUGAGUUUAGGGUGUUUGGUUGCUGAGACAGUUGAGGAAUAAUGUGAGAUACGAGGUUUUCAGAUUGUAAGUUUUUCUGUUGGAAGUAGUGGAAAAGUUUUGGAUAGAGAUGUUUCCCUCUUUCCCUUACUACAUUAUCUCGUAAACAAAAUUAAUUGGCAGUAUUCAGGUCAACGUCUUUUUCCAUGGUAAUUAAUAGAUGACAGAAUUUUCAUUGAUUUGUGUUUGUUAUCUGUGUGAUGCAAAUUAUUUUUUGGGGAAUGCUAUGGUUCUUUUCUUAUGAUAGAACAUAUGGUGUUCCUCUUCAAGUGUUCUUGAAAUUUGGAUGGAAUGUAUCAACUACAUAAUAAUUUUGCGAAG
rnacentral:misc_RNA from 1 species